rnacentral:lncRNA from 1 species
CAGGUACUCUUACUCCUUCAAAAUCCACUUUGAGAGGGAUGGACAAUCACAUCAACUUUUUCACUUUUUAUUAAAGAAAAUCACUUUUUGUACAUGAACAUCCUAUUGCAGACAAGAGGCAGACAGCUAUGAAGGAUAUGUGAAGACAUAUUUCGUUUUUAUUUUCUUUUAGGCAUAGAGGGAUAUGUUAAUCCAUUUCCACAUACAAUUCCUAUAAUUACAUAUAGGGAGUGAACCUUGAAUGGUUAAAAACCUGUUGCCAACGAGUACAACUGGAGAGAAGAAACUCCAGGAGUUGAAGACAGCAAAUUACCUUCCUUCCAGCCUGAUAGCACACGGAGUUGCUCUUGAGAGAGUGAGCUUCCUCCUUCUGCAGACACUGAUGCAGUAGUGGCCAUUUUGUCCUCUCUUGUAAACAUCUGGUCUGAGUCUCUCUUGCUGCUGCCUAGGCUACAACAGCUGUUUGUGGACUCAGUGACAACUCCAAGUGUACACCGCGCCAGACUAAACACUCUCUUCUUGUUGCCCUGUAACUUUUCUGCAAACACAUCUUAGAGUAAGACUUUAAACCUUUGACCUCCCAUACCAAAAGAAGAAAAUAAAAUGCAAACAAAAAAAAAAGAAAAAAUAAUAAAACGGAACUAAUCUCACUGUAGUGUUCAUGGCUUAUUAUGGAAAGCAGGUGUGUUUUUAAAAAAACUUUUAGAAUUUCUUUAACAAAAUUCUAAAGAGAAAGGAAAAAGAAAACAAAAAGAAAAUCAUAGUAUUUACAGAGAUAAACAGAAUGGCUUAGCCAUGCAAAACAAAGAACUUUGGUUUUGUUUUGUUUUUCCCUUUUCCCUUUGGUUUAAAUAUUGAUCAAGAUUCAAUUUUUUUCUUGCCAAAUUAAACUUCAAUAAAUCAAAGUUUAGAGGCAAAAUAACAUGUUUUCUUUUUUCCCCAUAUUUUAUACAGCAUUGAUUCUAAUAGAAUAUUUUAUGCAUUUAAUCCAUACCAAUGUACUAUAGGAAGCUUUUAUUAGGCUGAGACACUAUUGCUCAGAUAUCAAAUGGUUACAAAUGUACAAAGACACAUCUCUCAGUAUGCAGAAGUGGCAAAAGAUUAUUCCCAACCUCCAUCAGAGAUUAAUCUUUGAUUCGUUUCUCAUUGCCUUCAAAACAGUUUAUUCUUUGAGUCUAAAAGCAAACACCACAUUUCCUUUUCUCUCAAAGAACAGAGUUCUAUACCUGGAAAUCUAAUAGUCAUUUUUCUUUUCUCAGUUAAAGUUAUACACGUAAAUCUGGGACAAAAUGGCUGUGCAGUGUGAUCCCAGAAACCAAGCUUCUACCUGAAAGAGCAAAGAUUGAAGUCACAAACUGAUACUGGCCCUUAUCCAGUCUACUUCAAAAAGUUUCCAUGUACACUACCUCCUUAAAAAGUUCCUCAGGCAGAAAACAUGUUUAUAAAGUUACAAAUCUGAAUGUAACUAAAGAUACAUAGACAUUUUAUUAUUACACUUUCAUGUACUGCUUGAUAAAUUAUGUACCAGUUAAAAACACUAAAUUAUCUCAAGGUGCAUUCAAUAUCUGUAGCGUAGUUAACAAAAACACACACGAAAAAAAUAUAUAUUCUAUAUUCUGUGGAAAAUAACACAGCUUUAAUAAUGACCACUGUUAAAAAUCUUCAAUUCUGACUGAUAUCUUUUAUUUUAUUUUUUUUAAAGGAAAUAAGUGUCAUUUUAAGGCAGUGGAUAACCCAAAGGAUUUAACACCAAUUCUAAUUACAGAGAUUUACAUUGUGAUCUGUGAAAAUGGGAAUGCUAGCUGUAUUUCUCCAACUUUCUCUGACACAUUAGGUUUUUAUUUUCCUGAUUAUUUUUUUUCUAAUUUUUCUUUUGACUGAAUGUAAUUUCUUAGCAGGUGUCAAUAAGUAAAUGGGACCCCAAUUCUUUAGGGUGUACCAUUCACACCGUAUAGUGCUCCUGACUCUUGGGCUGGCCCCCCUUCCUCAUAAUUAAGAAACUGGCUUCUGACUGGGCAAGGUAUGUGUCUCCAAUUUCACAAACUGCCACCUUUGGGUUUCAGGUCCUGGUAAGAAAGUUUGGGGCAUUAUUGAUAGCAAUCAGAAUCAGAACUGUACCUGCUCAAGACUAUCCAUAUAAACAAUUGAAAUAAAACAUUACAUUAUACAUCCAAAUAACAGCCACUCCCAGAACAAAGCUUACAGUGUAUAAAAAUAGCUACGUAAAAAAUUUACAUAAAAGGCAAACUGAAAGGAAAUCCUUAGUGCAGACAUUUACAGAAACAAAAAGAAAACCAAAUACAACAUAUGACCUAUUAUCAUGGCUGCCAAAUUUUGUUGUUAUUUUGUUUUAUAACUUUGUUUCAUUGUUUUACUUGAGAUAAUUCUCUAAGAUCCUGUGACAGCUUGGUAGGAUGAACUGCUUAAUACUUGAACCAUGAAUUGCUGUCAUUGUCUUUGUAUAUGUCUUAAAUACAAUCCACGUUCAUGCUUCAAUUUGUCUACAUGGUUUUUCUCUGAAAUGAUGAAAAAACAUAAUGACGAGAAGUUACCAUAACAAUCAUUUUUCAUCAUCAACAGAACCUUUGUACUGAAACUGACAAUAAUUACAUUAUAGAAGGGAUUAUUUACAAACCCUGAUGUCCUGAGUCUACCUAUAAACCCAGCUCUAUCUACUCUACAAUGUGAUUUUGAAAUUGACGAUUUCUCCUUCCUUUCCUUCUUUCCUUCUUUCC